UACGUAGGUGACAAGCGUUGUCCGGAUUUACUGGGCGUAAAGAGCGCGCAGGCGGUCGUUCAAGUCGAGUGUGAAAGCCCCCGGCUCAACUGGGGAGGGUCAUUCGAUACUGUCGGACUCGAAGGCAGGAGAGGGAAGCGGAAUUCCCGGUGUAGUGGUGAAAUGCGUAGAUAUCGGGAGGAACACCAGUGGCGAAGGCGGGCAUCUGGGCCAACACUGACGCUGAGGCGCGAAAGCUAGGGGAGCAAACAGG
rnacentral:rRNA from 1 species